UUACUACAUUAGAACCAUUGCCAUGGGAC
rnacentral:piRNA from 1 species